rnacentral:rRNA from 1 species
CGCGAAUUCGCCCUUCGGGGUGCACCAGGCGCGAAAACUUUACAAUGCUGGAAACAGCGAUAGGGGGACUUUGAGUGCCAGGAUACAAUUCUGGCUGUCGUCGUGCCUAAAAAGCACGGCAUAGCAAGGGCCGGGCAAGACCGGUGCCAGCCGCCGCGGUAACACCGGCGGCUCGAGUGGUAACCGCUAUUAUUGGGUCUAAAGGGUCUGUAGCCGGCUGAAAAAGUCUCUUGGGAAAUCCGGCAGCUUAACUGUCGGGCUUUCAGGAGAUACUCUUCGGCUCGAGACCGGGAGAGGUGAGAGGUACUUCAUGGGUAGGGGUGAAAUCUUGUAAUCCUUGAAGGACCACCAGUGGCGAAGGCGUCUCACCAGAACGGAUCUGACGGCAAGGGACGAAAGCUAGGGGCACGAACCGGAUUAGAUACCCGGGUAGUCCUAGCCGUAAACGAUACUCGCUAGGUGUCGGCCACGGUGCGACCGUGGUCGGUGCCGUAGGGAAGCCGUGAAGCGAGCCACCUGGGAAGUACGGCCGCAAGGCUGAAACUUAAAGGAAUUGGCGGGGGAGCAC